rnacentral:rRNA from 1 species
GACGAACGCUGGCGGCGUGCCUAAUACAUGCAAGUCGAACGCUUCUUUCCUCCCGAGUGCUUGCACUCAAUUGGAAAGAGGAGUGGCGGACGGGUGAGUAACACGUGUGUAACCUACCCAUCAGAGGGGGAUAACACUUGGAAACAGGUGCUAAUACCGCAUAACAGUUUAUGCCGCAUGGCAUAAGAGUGAAAGGCGCUUUCGGGUGUCGCUGAUGGAUGGACCCGCGGUGCAUUAGCUAGUUGGUGAGGUAACGGCUCACCAAGGCCACGAUGCAUAGCCGACCUGAGAGGGUGAUCGGCCACACUGGGACUGAGACACGGCCCAGACUCCUACGGGAGGCAGCAGUAGGGAAUCUUCGGCAAUGGACGAAAGUCUGACCGAGCAACGCCGCGUGAGUGAAGAAGGUUUUCGGAUCGUAAAACUCUGUUGUUAGAGAAGAACAAGGACGUUAGUAACUGAACGUCCCCUGACGGUAUCUAACCAGAAAGCCACGGCUAACUACGUG